UCGGAGAGGCGGGGUGGUAGAGAGGCUGACCGCUCUGCGCCUCCAUUCAUCGAAUUUAAUUCAUUAUUUAGAGUAAUUUGAGAUGCUCCUUUGAUAGUAGAUCAUGCAUGGUCAGAGGGAACAGGUAUAAGGAAGGGGAUGAUUGCAUUAAAAAAGAAUAAAUGUAAUAGCGCUUGGUAUAAUGAGAACAACAGCAAUGUUUUCAUGAAAACUCGCUUUUAUUACUGUCACUAGUUUACUUGAUGAGAUGUCCUUUCCAUUUUCUCUGUUAAACAAUUGCUAUUUCAGAUUAUCAGUCAACAUUUAAUAAAUGUGGCUGAAUUAAAAUGAUUCUGAAAAGAAAAGCAACCCCAAAUAGCAGCUGCUGAGGCCAGGAGUGGCAUAACCAUUUGUAAGUUUCAAGAUCAAUGACUGUUUUGCAUGACAAGUUGGCUUGGGUACGUUUUUUCUCUUUUUUUUUUAAGAUUGUGCCCCCUGCUGGCGCAGUGUGGCCUGGUAAUUGCUGACUCUUCUAUUAAUGUACCGGAAAGGCAGAUAUCCAAUGAUCACAUGAAGGUUUGGGGUCUUGGGUUUGUUUGAGGCUAAAACGGGUUUCUGCCACACCCACCAAGAGGCUCUUCUCAUCAGCGACAUCUGGGCCAAAAAGGUCAAAGAUUGAUUAGAGGUUUGGAUUUUUGUGUGCAUGUUAAGGUGUUUCAAUUAUGUCUUUGCUUCCAUUUGGACGUAUAAAUGGUGAAGUCAGAACCGCAGUGUGGGGUGGACAUGGCUUUAUCAAUCAAAUUUUUUUUUUUUCCUUUUGACACCAUGCAGUGUUUUGGCAGGUCACUCUGAACACACCACACUCAGCAGGAAUGUCUCUAAAGAUUAUUUUAAGAGCCAUUCCCAUAAUUAGAGCAUCCUUAACAUUGCCUGGAGGGCAAAAUCAGGGCAACGAUAAUGGUAUAAAAAUUUUGAAGUGUGACCUAGGCAUUAGGGAGAAAGUAAUUCAUCCCUCCAUUGUAGACAGAAAAUUCUCCUACUUCAAUUUUUCUUUCUAACACGAACUGCUUCCAUAACCUGUAGCAGAUUUCCCAUGGGAAAGAAUCCUGUCUUGGGACCCGUGUUAGAAUAUCAGUAAUCGCAAUAUGAAAACCAUGGUUGUUUCUGGAAUGAUGGCUUAAUUUAUCAUGGUUUUUUUUUUAUUUUUGUUUGAUCUGCGAGAGGGGUGGAAAAGCAAGAAAUGUAAUUAGUGAGGAAUAAAAAAACAGUGAAAUUGGUUUUAAGGGAUUUUCUUGUAGCAACAGAUGUGUAUCAUCUGUGUUCAGGAUUUACAUCAAGCCAUCCACAAGACAUUAAUUAAAAAUCCUUCGAACUCCUCUCUCCUUUCUCUGUGUGUGUGUGUGUGUGUGUGUGUGUGUGUCCUCCAGUUGUACCUUCCUCAUUGUGCUCGUCAUCCUUGCUCCCCUGCACAAAGACACAGCAGCUAGCUCCCCCACAGUCACCGUCUUUGUCACAUUCCUACAGCGUAUGUGUUGUUCAGACUACCUAGCCAUGUUCAGACAAUGUCAGCAGGACACAUGAGCCAAUGGCAGUGAUCCCCUGGGGACAGAUCGUAUCACCGAUAACAGCGUCAGUGGGGGAACAAUGGCUGCCUGCAGAACGUCUCCUCGCCUUAAUAAGGUUGAGGAUCUCUCCACCUCCACGUCGCACAUCAAUACCUCCAACAGGAGUCUUUUGCUGCUGGGAGAUAACAGGGGAGGACAAAGAAACCCUUGAGAAUGGCACAGGAAAAACCGGAACAAAGUCGAAAUAAUUAGGCGUAAAUGAGUUCGGCGCGGAGAGAAAUGAGCUGAAGACAGCUGCACAAAGCAAAUUAAUUUGAGUAGGCAAACUCUAAACUGAGGUGUCUAAAAAUAAAUCAGUCAUAAAGAUUAGGAAACUAUUGCUGGUUAAGGUGGGUUUAGUUUUAGGUUCACGGUGGUCAAAAAGCAAAGAAAACUACCACCAUGAGGGGUGAUGUUACCGGUUAGUAAAAAGAAAGAAAGAAAAAAAAGGUUUUUAUUAAAAUACAAAUUUUAAAAAAAUUAUUUUCAUCUGGUGGUGGAACUCUAAUGAAUUCCCUGCAAUGAAUCAAAAACCAUCUAUCGACAAUAUGAGCUAAAUUUUGUCUGUUUCAAUUAGAAAAAUCAUUUUUUCUGCUAAAUUCCAGAAAAGGUAAACAUAUGAGCUCAACAACAAAGAUAUUUAUUGUUUUUGAUAUGUUAUUUAUUUUAUUCAGCCAUCAGAUUGGUGCGCAAAGCUAUCACACCCGUUUAGAAACGUAUUCUGUGGACGCUGACGUUAGCAUCGGAGACGUCUGUGCUGCUGCUACAUAUUUAGCAUGGUUUAGCCAUCACUAUCUACACUAACUCUUUGCAGAAUUGAAAUGAAUAUGAAUUCCAACAACAUUUAAUUUCCCUUUGGGUUGGGAUCAAUAAAAUAUUUUUGAAUUGAAUUAGAAUUGAGUUGAGAUGCUAUUGUGGGCUUGAAUAGCUUCGCUAACAGGCUAACUCCUUUUAGCACAACUUGCAACAUUAGUCGUUUCCAGUCCCAGCAGAUUUGAAGCACAAGUUAAACCCCUGUGGGCCAAGAGAAGCGAUUUUGUCGACCUUCGAUGUCUCUUGUGUGUCAGAUUUACGGGCGUACCAGAAAUGCAGAAAUAUAAAGGUUCCAGGGUUGGGACUUUUGUAUAAAAAAGGGAUUAAUUGCAUUGAAGUGUUUAAUCGAAAUUAACGUGUUAAAGUCCUGGCUAAAGGUGGGCAAUAUGGGCUUACAAUUUCAUCAUCAUUUUUUGUAAGUACUAUUGUGGUGACAAUAAAAAUAAUGGUGUAAGUU